CGGCCCGGCGUCCGCCCACCCCACGGAGGAGUGAGGUGGGGAUUCCGGUCGGGCCAACAGGGGGAUGACGAGCUUUUGCUUUGCCGAGCGGUGAUGAACACGCCCUUCACUGACCCCGCUCUUCUAU
rnacentral:snoRNA from 1 species